rnacentral:rRNA from 1 species
AAACCAACAGGGAUUGCCUCAGUAACGGCGAGUGAAGCGGCAAAAGCUCAAAUUUGAAAUCUGGCACCUUCGGUGUCCGAGUUGUAAUUUGAAGAAGGUAACUUUGGAGUUGGCUCUUGUCUAUGUUCCUUGGAACAGGACGUCACAGAGGGUGAGAAUCCCGUGCGAUGAGAUGUCCAAUUCUAUGUAAAGUGCUUUCGAAGAGUCGAGUUGUUUGGGAAUGCAGCUCUAAGUGGGUGGUAAAUUCCAUCUAAAGCUAAAUAUUGGCGAGAGACCGAUAGCGAACAAGUACAGUGAUGGAAAGAUGAAAAGAACUUUGAAAAGAGAGUGAAAAAGUACGUGAAAUUGUUGAAAGGGAAGGGCUUGAGAUCAGACUUGGUAUUUUGCAAGCCUUACCCUCGUGGUGGGGUCCCCUGCAGUUUACUGGGCCAGCAUCGGUUUGGAUGGUGGGAUAAUGACAUUGGAAUGUGGCUCUGCUUCGGUAGAGUGUUAUAGACUUUGUUGAUACCACCUGUCUAGACCGAGGACUGCGUCUUUGACUAGGAUGUUGGCAUAAUGAUCUUAAGUCGC